GAUGGGGUCUCUCUACUCGUGUGGUGCUGCUGCUGCUGCCUCUGCUUCUGCUGCUGCUCCUGGUUGGCUCAGGCGCGCACGCUGCCUCCCUUUGUCUCUUUCUAAUCUCUCGUCACCGGCGGCUCCUCAUUCCGUUCGAACACCCUGUGUAUUCUGUACGUGCCGUGCCGUACUCGGAUGCGUCCUGCAAUCAUCACAUACCUAACCCACCUACGUCUUACGUCGUCAUCGCAACUACCAUGACAACCGACAAUCAACAUCGUCGUCGUCGAGGUCAUCCACUGCUGCUGACAUGUGUCAUCAUCAUCAUCGGAUGACUUGAUGGUGGUAAACAAGUCGAGAGACCCCGCGCCGCGGAUCGAUCACACGCGCUCCUCGAGCAACACGCUCAACCGAAUCCAAGAGUUCCGAUACCAGAAGAACUACAGCAAUAUACUUUUACCUUUAAUUCUCUUUCUCUCUUUCAAACACACACGCACAUUCAAUCCACGCCGCGUAUUUGUAUGUGCGUGAGCGUGCGUGAAUAUUUGUGUAGUGUGUAUAUAGUGUUUAAAUUGGAGUGUGUUUAGUGGUGCGUCUAAAUUAAGAACGGCAGAAGAGCACGAGAAUAAUAAAGGCUCUCUCUAUCUACUUGCCUCUUACUUUUCUUCCCUUUUCGGAUUUCUUUGCGAUGACACACACUACCACGGCUCACCGCUAUCUCGAAUCCAGUCAGCCGCGCGUUUUCCUGAAACAAAGGAGGAUGUUCCGUAAUAUGGGUUAAUUCAUCCGUGCCGGAGUGGAGAGAUUCGCAAACAGAAAGUGUGAGAGAUAGAGAGAGAGAAAAUUAAAAUAAAACGACAACAACAAAAAAAAAA